rnacentral:lncRNA from 1 species
UAUUUUAAGUUGUUAAUUAUUGUAAUUUAUAAUACUUUUUAGGUAAUUUUUAAAUACUUAGAUGACCAUAAUAAUUAAUUGUGGGUGAUAUAGUAAAGUUACGAUUGAAGCAGCGAAGCAGACAUGUCUUAAUAACUCACAACAACUAAUUAGAAGGGAUACAACAAAAUUAUUAUAAAAAAUACUUUUGAAAAUUUUUAAAUGGUCAUAAUAAUUAAUUAGGAGUGAUAUAGUAAAAUCAUGAUUGAAACAGCGAAGCAACCAUGUCUAAUUAGAAGUUCUAUAAUAAAAUUACUAUACAAAAAUAUCUGGGUGAAGCAACAAACAGAUAUGUCAUAAAUAUCUAUUUUACUUUUUUAUUAAAUAUUAUUAAUUUUUUAAUACAUAAAUAACUUAUAAUAAUUAAUUAGAGAUGAUA